rnacentral:rRNA from 1 species
AGCGUAGACGGCAAGGCAAGUCUGAUGUGAAAACCCAGGGCUUAACCCUGGGACUGCAUUGGAAACUGUCUGGCUCGAGUGCCGGAGAGGUAAGCGGAAUUCCUAGUGUAGUGGUGAAAUGCGUAGAUAUUAGGAAGAACACCAGUGGCGAAGGCGGCUUACUGGACGGUAACUGACGUUGAGGCUCGAAAGCGUGGGGAAGCAAACA